rnacentral:rRNA from 1 species
AGAGUUUGAUCCUGGCUCAGAUUGAACGCUGGCGGCAUGCCUUACACAUGCAAGUCGAACGGGCUUUGGGGCUCGCUCCAAAGUUAGUGGCGAACGGGUGAGUAAUAUAUCGGAACGUACCCUUGAGUGGGGGAUAACAUAGCGAAAGUUAUGCUAAUACCGCAUACGAUCUAAGGAUGAAAGUGGGGGACCGCAAGGCC